rnacentral:tRNA from 1 species
GGGCCCGUAGCUCAGCCUGGUUAGAGCGCUGGUCUUAUAAGCCAGAGGUCCUGGGUUCAAAUUGACUAAAAGGCACACUCCCUUUGGUCGUGAAAGUCCCAGCGGGCCCA